rnacentral:tRNA from 1 species
GCCAGCGUCGCAUAACCUGGUAUUGCGCCGGUCUCGAAAACCGGUUCCUUCGGGAGUUGCAGGUUCGAAUCCUGCCGCUGGCG